ensembl:lncRNA
UCAAUAUAUGUAUUGUGUGUAUUUAUAUUUGUACAUAUGUAACGUUUAUGUUCACAUACAAGUACACACACAUACAUAUACAUAUUUUAGCCUCUCUUCUGCCUUUCAUGUUCCUGGAAGAAAGGCUUUCAUCUGAUUUAUAUGAUAAACUGCAAAAUCUACUGCUUGUGUCUACAUUCUUUUCACUGGGAAAAAAGCUUCCUUUAAAAUGCCAUUGUUCCAGUGUCGAUGGAUGCUCUCCAAGCUGGGGCAUUCUCACACAGUGGACAAAUAAAAAGCCUGAAGAGCCUGAGAGGUGGAAAUAUCAUCCUUACAAAGGUCUCACCUGGAGUGCUGUGUCCAGGUGUGGAAUCCUCAGGACAGGAGAGACAUGGACCUGUUGGAGCAUGUCCAGAGGAGGGCUGCAAAAAUGGUUUAUAGAACGGAACAAGUUUCCUUCAAGGGAAGACUGAGAGAAGUGGGGCUGUUCAGCCUGGAGAAGAGAAGGCUGUGAGGUGACCUGAUAGCGGCGUUUCAGUAUCUAAAGGGGAGCUACAGGAAAGAAGGGGAAAGACUCUUUAGCAGGGUCUGGUGAUUGAACAAUGGGAAAUGGCUUCUAGCUCAAAGAGGAACACAGCCAUGGGGACUUUACCACUGUGCUGUGCAGCCUGUUCUAAUGCUCAGCCAUCCUAUCAGUAAAAAAAAUCCUUCCUG